ensembl:lncRNA
CUGAGAAACACGCUACAAAAAUAACUUACCAGAGCUCAUCAAGGUGUCAGGGUCAUGGAAGACAGGAAACCAGCCCUGCCUGGGCAAAACCAAGAAGACACAAGGACGAAAAUGCAGGAUGAGGUCCUGAAUUGAAUCCUGGAACAGGAAAAAGAUGCUGGGGGAGCCACUGGUGAAAUGCAAAAAGAAAUGUGGGCAUGGCAGAAGAAGUGGAAGAAAUGAAAAUUCACGAAGAAGAAAAUAAAACUCAGUCAUAAGACCGCCAGCCAGAGGAGCACCACUAGUACAUUGAGGGGCAGAUGAUCCUUGGCUUUCUCAAAUACGACUUUGAGCAAAUCACACAUUAUAUGUCAAAAUCCC